rnacentral:rRNA from 1 species
GAGUGGCGGACGGGUGAGUAAUGCAUCGGGAUCUACCUCAACGUGGGGGAUAACGUAGGGAAACUUACGCUAAUACCGCAUACGUCCUACGGGAGAAAGCAGGGGACCUUCGGGCCUUGCGCGGUGAGACGAACCGAUGUUCGAUUAGCUAGUUGGUGAGGUAAUGGCUCACCAAGGCGACGAUCGAUAGCUGGUCUGAGAGGAUGAUCAGCCACACUGGAACUGAGACACGGUCCAGACUCCUACGGGAGGCAGCAGUGGGGAAUAUUGGACAAUGGGCGCAAGCCUGAUCCAGCAAUGCCGCGUGUGUGAAGAAGGCCUUCGGGUUGUAAAGCACUUUUAUCAGGAACGAAAUACCACGGGUUAAUACCCUAUGGGGCUGACGGUACCUGAGGAAUAAGCACCGGCUAACUUCGUGCCAGCAGCCGCGGUAAUACGAAGGGUGCAAGCGUUAAUCGGAAUUACUGGGCGUAAAGGGUGCGUAGGCGGUUAGUUAAGUCUGUCGUGAAAUCCCCGGGCUCAACCUGGGAAUGGCGAUGGAUACUGGCUGGCUAGAGUGUGUCAGAGGAUGGUGGAAUUUCCGGUGUAGCGGUGAAAUGCGUAGAGAUCGGAAGGAACAUCAGUGGCGAAGGCGGCCAUCUGGGACAACACUGACGCUGAAGCACGAAAGCGUGGGGAGCAAACUGGAUUAGAUACCCUGGUAGUCCACGCCCUAAACGAUGCGAACUGGAUGUUGGUCUCAACUCGGAGAUCAGUGUCGAAGCUAACACGUUAAGUUCGCCGCCUGGGGAGUACGGUCGCAAGACUGAAACUCAAAGGAAUUGACGGGGG